rnacentral:rRNA from 1 species
UUCGGAUCGUAAAGCUCUGUUGUUAGGGAAGAACAAGUACCGUUCGAAUAGGGCGGUACCUUGACGGUACCUAACCAGAAAGCCACGGCUAACUACGUGCCAGCAGCCGCGGUAAUACGUAGGUGGCAAGCGUUGUCCGGAAUUAUUGGGCGUAAAGGGCUCGCAGGCGGUUUCUUAAGUCUGAUGUGAAAGCCCCCGGCUCAACCGGGGAGGGUCAUUGGAAACUGGGGAACUUGAGUGCAGAAGAGGAGAGUGGAAUUCCACGUGUAGCGGUGAAAUGCGUAGAGAUGUGGAGGAACACCAGUGGCGAAGGCGACUCUCUGGUCUGUAACUGACGCUGAGGAGCGAAAGCGUGGGGAGCGAACAGGAUUAGAUACCCUGGUAGUCCACGCCGUAAACGAUGAGUGCUAAGUGUUAGGGGGUUUCCGCCCCUUAGUGCUGCAGCUAACGCAUUAAGCACUCCGCCUGGGGAGUACGGUCGCAAGACUGAAACUCAAAGGAUUGACGGGGGCCCGCACAAGCGGUGGAGAUGUGGUUAAUUCGAAGCACGCGAAAACCUUACAAGUCUUGACUCCUCUGACAUCCUAGAGAAGGACGUCCCUUCGGGGCAGAUGACAGUGGUGCAGGUUGUCUCAGCUC